AUGGUUGUAUCUAAAAGCGGUUGAUAAAAGUCGACCUCGUAAGGACAAUUGAAUGGCCGCGGUAACACUGACCGUGAUAAUGUAGCGUAAUCAAUAGCCAAUUAAUUGUUGGCCAGUAUGAAUGGCGCCACGAAGGCCCCACUGUCUUAAGGAAAUUCCCAGUGAAAUUGAAUUCGUAGUGAAGAUGCUACGUGCAAUUUGUUAGACGAAAAGACCCCGUUGAGCUUUACUGGAGCACUUACAUGGCCCUGGCCUUCCCAUGCUUGGGAAUCGGCCGAAUUUAAAUGGGCGGCUUAGAUUAUGUGGCAGCCCCCCGCUGGGGCAAAUGAAACCCCACUCCCCCAUGUCAAAGGGGCUAACCCCCCCCCUUGGGGGGACAGUGUAAGUAGGACAGUUUGGUUGGGGCGACCGCCUUUUAAAGAGUAA
rnacentral:rRNA from 1 species